CUUGCCUAAUACAUGCAAGUCGAGCGAAUGAUGAAGAAGCUUGCUUCUUCUGAUUUAGCGGCGGACGGGUGAGUAACACGUGGGCAACCUACCUAGUAGAUUGGGAUAACUCCGGGAAACCGGGGCUAAUACCGAAUAAUCCAUUUUGUCACAUGGCAAAAUGCUGAAAGGCGGUUUCGGCUGUCACUACUAGAUGGGCCCGCGGUGCAUUAGCUAGUUGGUGGGGUAAUGGCCUACCAAGGCAACGAUGCAUAGCCGACCUGAGAGGGUGAUCGGCCACAUUGGGACUGAGACACGGCCCAAACUCCUACGGGAGGCAGCAGUAGGGAAUCUUCCACAAUGGACGAAAGUCUGAUGGAGCAACGCCGCGUGAGUGAUGAAGGUUUUCGGAUCGUAAAACUCUGUUGUAAGGGAAGAACAAGUACGUUAGUAACUGAACGUACCUUGACGGUACCUUAUUAGAAAGCCACGGCUAACUACGUGCCAGCAGCCGCGGUAAUACGUAGGUGGCAAGCGUUGUCCGGAUUUAUUGGGCGUAAAGCGCGCGCAGGUGGUUUCUUAAGUCUGAUGUGAAAGCCCACGGCUCAACCGUGGAGGGUCAUUGGAAACUGGGAGACUUGAGUGCAGAAGAGGAAAGUGGAAUUCCAAGUGUAGCGGUGAAAUGCGUAGAGAUUUGGAGGAACACCAGUGGCGAAGGCGACUUUCUGGUCUGUAACUGACACUGAGGCGCGAAAGCGUGGGGAGCAAACAGGAUUAGAUACCCUGGUAGUCCACGCCGUAAACGAUGAGUGCUAAGUGUU
rnacentral:rRNA from 1 species